CCCAAGACAAUGCCAUUGGGCUACCAGAAUAAUUAGCAUAAACACACCAAGACAUGGCCCAACAGAUUGCCCCAACAAUUAACAAAAAAAAAAAAAAAACCAGCAAAGCUUUUUGGAGACGCUUCACAAAGCAGAAAAACAAGUUUUAGAAUUCUCCAUCACCAAAUCGACAAAAGCAACAAAAACCAGGGGAAAACUGUUCAUCUUCCUUGGGAACGCGGCGGUCAAAACUUUUGUUGCUUCUUUAUCCUUCAUCGUCCAGUGCGUUUUAGUCCAGAGCUUCCAACAAGCUACGGUCUCGCUCAAUCAGUAUCACCGCAACCUUGGGAUCCCAUACCUCAAGAAUAUCCCCUAUUUUUGCCGAAGACCUUCCCUGGCUAACUGGUUCGCCGCUUCGUUGGCCAAUCUUUUCACAUGCAGAAAGGUUUUGUACAUUUAGAUCUAAGCAUAACCUCAACGCCUCCACACAGAGCCUAGCUUCCGCCGCAAAAGGCGAAGAAAUCCUCUCAUGCAAGCAUCAAAGUUUACUUCUAUGUACCCCUCUUUCGGGCAUCUCCACCGGUCUCCUGUUUCAACUUUCAGAGGUUUUAAGAGAAAGUGUGGAUCAACGUCUAAGAGUUUGUCUUAACGAAAUAAGAUCAUUUAAAGAGGAUCAACGAGGGGUUCUAAGAGAAAGUGUGGAUUCAUUCACGAUGCGGUACCGCCAAUUUCUCUAUUUAGAAUAUUAUUAUUAUUUUUUAAAAUGUUCAAUAAUUAUAUUUUUAAAAUGUU